rnacentral:rRNA from 1 species
AUAACCCGUUGAAAGACGGCCUAAUACCGUAUGACGUCGUUUGCCGACAUCGAAAAGACGACCAAAGGUUUGGCGGUGAUGGAUGGGGAUGCGUCUGAUUAGCUUGUUGGCGGGUAACGGCCCACCAAGGCUACGAUCAGUAGGGGUUCUGAGAGGAAGGUCCCCCACAUUGGAACUGAGACACGGUCCAAACUCCUACGGGAGGCAGCAGUGAGGAAUAUUGGUCAAUGGGCGAGAGCCUGAACCAGCCAAGUAGCGUGCAGGAUGACGGCCCUAUGGGUUGUAAACUGCUUUACGCGGGGAUAAAGUGCGUGACGUGUCGCGCAUCGCAGGUACCGCGUGAAUAAGGACCGGCUAAUUCCCGUGCCAGCAGCCGCGGUAAAU